ensembl:lncRNA
GAGGAAGAGGUAGAGGAGGAGGAGGCCGAAGAGGCCAUGCACGGACCCAUAUUUCUGAUGAAAUAAGAGCAACUUUGGUGGACCAUGUCAUCAACCAUGGCCUGACUAUGAGGGAAGCUGGGCAGAGAGUCCACCCACAUCUAAGCCGCUUCACAGUGGCAUCUGUAAUACGAACAUUCCGACUAGAAAACAGAAUGACCCGAAGACCUUCUGGGGGUGGACGGCAACGCCUGUUCACACAACAGCAGGAACUUGCCGUUGUGGACCUAGUGAGGGCAGACAAUGCCAUCCGUCUCCACCAGCUACGACGGACAAUACUUGCAGACAGGCGAGUGUUCAGCAACAUAGACCAUGUGAGCAUCACCACCAUCA